GAAAUAACCACCUCCUGGUCGUCGAUAUGAGCAGCAACUUGGUAGAAAUCGGUCUAAAGUUGUACAAACCACAUCUAAUCGUUCCUAAUGGCAAUCGAGCCGGAAUAGAUCUUCUUUAAGGAACUAAGACCGAAGGACACAAGAGAAGUCUUGACGAUGUACAAGGAUGCAAAGUAUUCCGUGAGCGUUCUGCCUCCGAUCACCUCGAGGUUCCGAAAGUAUGAAAGAUUCUUAAAGUCUGGGUGAUCUCCUUGGAUGUUGAGCGCUUGCCAAAUGUAUAAUUUGGAUAAACGUGCUGGAAGCCUUCAAAACUUUGAUCCAGAAUCGUGAUGGAACCUUCGAUAAUGGUGCAGUC